rnacentral:lncRNA from 1 species
GGGAUGGGUGACUUGGAACGAGCAAGAACAAAUUCCUGGUAUCUCUCUUUUUUUUUUUAAUUGAAUUAUAAUUGACAUGAAACAUAUUAGUUUCCAAUGUACAACAUAAUGAUUCAAUAUUUAUAUGUGUUGCAAAAUGAUCAUGGUGGGCUGAAUUACCACCCACCACCACAUAUAGUUACAGAAUUUUUUUUCUUGUGAUAAGUUUCAAGAACAACUCUCUUAGCAACUUUCAUAUAUGCAAUGCUCUUUUAUUAACUAUAGUCACUAUGUAGUACAUUACAUCCCCAUGACCUAUUUAUUUUGUAAGUGGAAGUUUGUACCUUUGGACCCCCUGGGUGAUGGUAUCUUGAUGAGGAUCUCGGUUACAUAGGUAUGCACAUUGGUCAGAACCCAUGCUUAAAACUGGGGCAUUUCCCUGGAUGUUAAUUUCUCCUCCAAGGAAAAAGAGGAAACAAACAUGGAACCCUGCUUAAUGAUAUUCAUGCUGAAGUGUUUCAGGGUGAAGUCCUGAUGCCCGCAACCCACUUUGAAAUGUACCAUGAUAAGCUGGACGUGUUUAGAGGUACAGAUGGACAGAGUGGUGAUGAGGCAAUUAUUAUCCCUCUUGAUGCUCCAUUUGUCCCAUCUUUGGUCAGUGGGAACCUCUCCAGGUUGGCUCCCGGGUGCUCCAGACACAAUCUCAAUCCUCAUCAUGACUUUCCCUGCUGUCUAAUGAGUUGCUGUGGUUCAUCUUGCAUAUUUCUUGCUCCAGACCUGGAAUCAGCUUUUCCUCCAAGAAGCCUGCUUUCUUUUUUGUGAGAAUGGUAUUGAGAGACCACAGUAUGGACAUACUUAUGAUAUCAUCCAUUUCAAGUACUGCACACGGCAUUAUUUCCUACUAUGUAAAAGGAAUCAUCUGAACCCUAAAAUUCUCAGAAAUCAGAACAUGCUUCCUGAAAUAAGACAUUAAGUGGGAAUAGGGAAAUACCAACUUAGUGAUCUGUAAUAUGAAACCAAAUAAAUCUAAGAGCAAAAAGACAGUGAUGAAAAGGAUGAAAGAAGAAAAUUCAGAGACAUAGAAGAUGGAUCCAAGGUUUAGUACUCAACUCUUAGGAAUUCUAGACAAAAUGGAAAGAAACAAUGGCAUAAAGAAAAUAAUUUCUUAAAGAUUUUAUUUAUUAGAGAGAGAGAAUGAGACCAUAAGCAAAGGGAGCAGCAGUCAGAGGGAGAAGCAGACUCCCCACUGAGCAGGGAACUCCAUGUGGGGUUUGAGCCAAGGAAGCUGGCGUCAGACCUGGGCCUAAGGCAGAUGCUUAACUGACUGAGCCACUCAGGCACCCAAGAAAAUAAUUUUUAAAAUGAUAAUUGUAAAUGCUGUUCAGCCUACGGACACCAUCUUGGACAUGGAGCAGUAACUGAAUCAGCUUCAUUGUGAAAAUGUAAAAAAAAAAAAAAAAGUAAACUGUGGAGAUGUGUUUCUGAUGUACUAAUUUAUUACCUGGGAUCAGCAUUCAGUUACAUCUUUCUCUUCUUUUGUUAUAAUCACUUAUAUAACUCUGUAAAAUUAGAGAACCCAGGUCUACCUGAGUUGAAUCCAUCCCACAUAAGGUCCUUCCCUUGGAGUGACCAAAAUAUCCCCAACAGCAAGCUGGUUUACCCUUUCAAAGACAUCUAUUUUUUUGGGAAUCAAAGAGCUUGCUGUUAGGAAAGGGGAUGUUAAUGACAGAAAAAAAAAUCAUACAGAGCAAACAAAAUAAAUACACCGAAGAGAGCCUCUCAAACUGGGAAAAAUACAGUAUCACGC